rnacentral:rRNA from 1 species
UGAGGAACAUGACCUUCGGCGGGGGAUAGCCGGCCCAACGGCCGGGUAAUACCGCGUACGACCACAUGGAGACAUCCCUGAGUGGUGAAAGCAGCAAUGCGCCGAUGGAGUGCCUCGCGGCCUAUCAGCUAGUUGGUGAGGUAACGGCUCACCAAGGCGACGACGGGUGGCUGGUCUGAGAGGAUGGCCAGCCACAUUGGGACUGAGACACGGCCCAGAUCCCUACGGGG